GUCCACGCCGUAAACGUUGGGCACUAGGUGUGGGUCUCAACCAACGAGAUCCGCGCCGUCGCUAACGCAUUAAGUGCCCCGCCUGGGGAGUACGAUCGCAAGAUUAAAACUCAAAGGAAUUGACGGGGCCCACACAAGCAGCGGAGCGUGUUGCUUAAUUCGAUGCAACGCGAAGAACCUUACCUGUGCUUGACAUGUACGGAAAAGCCGUAGAGAUACGGUGUCCUUCGGGGCCGUACACAGGUGGUGCAUGGCUGUCGU
rnacentral:rRNA from 1 species